rnacentral:siRNA from 1 species
GAUCCUCUCUGUAAUCAUGUCCU